CCUACGUGAGGCAGCAGUGGGGAAUAUUGCGCAAUGGGCGAAAGCCUGACGCAGCGACGCCGCGUGAGGGAUGAAGGUCUUCGGAUCGUAAACCUCUGUCAGCAGGGAAGAACGGUCACUGUGCUAAUCAGCAGUGAAUUGACGGUACCUGCAAAGGAAGCACCGGCUAACUCCGUGCCAGCAGCCGCGGUAAUACGGAGGGGGCGAGCGUUAAUCGGAAUGACUGGGCGUAAAGCGCUCGUAGGCGGUAUGUCAAGUCAAGGGUGAAAUCCCCGCGCUCAACGUGGGAACUGCCUUUGAAACUGGCAAACUGGCGUGUGUGAGAGGCUAGUGGACUUCCCGGUGUAGGCGUGAAAUCCGUAGAUAUCUGGCGGAACAUCAGUGGCGAAGGCGACUCUCUGGCACAUACCUGCCGCUGAGGAGCGAAAGCGUGGGUAGCAACCAGGAUUAGCUACCCCAGUAGUC
rnacentral:rRNA from 1 species